CCAAACUUAAAGAUUGCAGUUUAUUGAUAAGCCUUCUAUGUGCAACAGUAUCAAAAGCCUUACUGAAAUCUAGGUAAUCAAUGUCUACUGCAAUACCCUGAUCUAUAAUUUUAGUUACCCAAUCAAAAAAAUCAACAAGAUUAGUUUGGCAUGAUCUCCCUGAAGUAAACCCAUGUUGUCUCUGAAAUCCAUGUGUUUUUAGAUGUUCAACAAUCCUAUCCUUUAACAUGGUUUCCAUCACUUUCCCCACUACUGAAGUAAGGCUUACUGGCCUAUAGUUGCCCGACUCCUCCCUAUUACCUUUCUUGUAAAUGGGCACAACAUUCGCUAAUUUCCAAUCUUCUGGGACUACUCUCCAUAAAAGUUGGAUAAGUGAUUUCAAUAAUGAUUCCUUAUGAUUAUUAUAUGCACUUAGAAGUAAGUCCAUUACAAAUCUCAAGUUAUAAUCUUUCCCACAGCAGUCAAUCAGAUCCACAGCUUAUUUGUCAAAGAAGAACUUUCACUUUUAACAUUUUAACACAAUCAGAUAGCAAACUAAAAGAGAGCUGUUGGUUGUGCCAAAAUGUAUUUUAACAUUAUUUAUACAAUUAUUUUUAUUUUAAUGUGCAUGUUUUUUCCAGAUAGUAUAUAAAUCAGUUUGUUACUGGAGUUACAAGAAAAAAAUGCCAAACGUGCAUGAGUAAUUUCUGUAUUUGAUUCCUGAGUAUGAAAGUACAAGUCCUGUAAGAUAUAGGGCUCAUUUUAAAAUUCUGGUUCUUGCUUUCAAAUCUCUACAUAAUGCUGCUCCCACCUAUCUAUCCUCCCUUAUACACAAGUAUGUCCCGUUUAGGCCCUUACGCUCUGCUGAAGACUUACGUCUAUCUUCUGUCCGUACUCCCACCUCUGAUGCUCGCCUUCAAGAUUUCUCGAGGGCUGCACCGUUCCUGUGGAACUCGCUUCCCUCCUCUGUUAGAUGUUCACCCAGUCUCCACUCCUUCAAAAAAUCGUUAAAAACCCACUUCUUUAUAAAAGUGUAUCAAUUAAAUUGUUAAUAGCUCCUGACUGAUUCCUCUUCUGCAACUGUCACUUGUCUAACACUAUCCUUAUCUUUUGUGUCACUUUACCCCACUUUCUCUAGCAUGUAAACUCACUGAGCAGGGCCCUCAAUCCCUCUGUUACUGUCACUAUACCCCACUCCCUCUAACAUGUAAACUCACUGAGCAGG